ACACAUGCAGUCGAGGGGUAUAGUAGCAAUACUAGAGACCGGCGCACGGGUGCGUAACGCGUAUGCAAUCUACCUUUUACAGGGGAAUAGCCCAGAGAAAUUUGGAUUAAUGCCCCAUGGUAUUAUAGAAUGGCAUCAUUUUAUAAUUAAAGUUCCAACGGUAAAAGAUGAGCAUGCGUCCCAUUAGCUUGUUGGUAAGGUAACGGCUUACCAAGGCUACGAUGGGUAGGGGUCCUGAGAGGGAGAUCCCCCACACUGGUACUGAGACACGGACCAGACUCCUACGGGAGGCAGCAGUGAGGAAUAUUGGACAAUGGGCGCAAGCCUGAUCCAGCCAUGCCGCGUGCAGGAUGACGGUCCUAUGGAUUGUAAACUGCUUUUGCACAGGAAGAAACACUUGCUCGUGAGCAAGCUUGACGGUACUGUGAGAAUAAGGAUCGGCUAACUCCGUGCCAGCAGCCGCGGUAAUACGGAGGAUCCAAGCGUUAUCCGGAAUCAUUGGGUUUAAAGGGUCCGUAGGCGGGCUCGUAAGUCAGUGGUGAAAGCCCAUCGCUCAACGAUGGAACGGCCAUUGAUACUGCGAGUCUUGAAUUACUUGGAAGUAACUAGAAUAUGUAGUGUAGCGGUGAAAUGCUUAGAGAUUACAUGGAAUACCAAUUGCGAAGGCAGGUUACUACAAGUUGAUUGACGCUGAUGGACGAAAGCGUGGGUAGCGAACAGGAUUAGAUACCCUGGUAGUCCACGCCGUAAACGAUGGAUACUAGCUGUUCGGAGCAAUCUGAGUGGCUAAGCGAAAGUGAUAAGUAUCCCACCUGGGGAGUACGUUCGCAAGAAUGAAACUCAAAUGAAUUGACGG
rnacentral:rRNA from 1 species